GCAGACGGGUGAGUAACGCGUGGGAACAUACCUUUCGGUUCGGAAUAGCCCCGGGAAACUGGGUGUAAUACCGGAUACGUCCUUAGGGAGAAAGAUUUAUCGCCGAAAGAUUGGCCCGCGUUAGAUUAGGUAGUUGGUGGGGUAAAAGCCUACCAAGCCUACGAUCUAUAGCUGGUCUGAGAGGAUGAUCAGCCACACUGGGACUGAGACACGGCCCAGACUCCUACGGGAGGCAGCAGUGAGGAAUCUUGGACAAUGGGCGCAAGCCUGAUCCAGCCAUGCCGCGUGAAUGAUGAAGGCCUUAGGGUUGUAAAAUUCUUUCAGCAGGGAAGAUAAUGACGGUACCUGCAGAAGAAGCCCCGGCUAACUCCGUGCCAGCAGCCGCGGUAAUACGGAGGGGGCUAGCGUUGUUCGGAAUUACUGGGCGUAAAGCGCUCGUAGGCGGAUUGGUCAGUCAGGGGUGAAAGCCCGGAGCUCAACUCCGGAACUGCCUUUGAUACUGCCAGUCUUGAGUUCGGGAGAGGUGAGCGGAAUACCGAGUGUAGAGGUGAAAUUCGUAGAUAUUCGGUGGAACACCAGAGGCGAAGGCGGCUCACUGG
rnacentral:rRNA from 1 species